rnacentral:rRNA from 1 species
CAGUAGCCGCGGUAAUACGUAUGUCACAAGCGUUACCCGGAUUUAUUGGGCGUAAAGCGCGUCUAGGUGGUUAUGUAAGUCUGAUGUGAAAAUGCAGGGCUCAACUCUGUAUUGCGUUGGAAACUGUGUAACUAGUGUACUGGAGAGGUAAGCGGAACUACAAGUGUAGAGGUGAAAUUCGUAGAUAUUUGUAGGAAUGCCGAUGGGGAAGCCAGCUUACUGGACAGAUACUGACGCUAAAGCGCGAAAGCGUGGGUAGCAAACAGGAUUAGAUACCCGCGUAGUCCCUGUCUCUUAUACA